rnacentral:rRNA from 1 species
AUUGAACGCUGGCGGCAGGCCUAACACAUGCAAGUCGAGCGAGCGGAGGAGGGGUGAGUAAUGUAUGGGGACUGCCCGAUAAAGGGGGAUAACUACGGGAAAAGGUAGCUAAUAACGCAUACUAUCGGAUAACCCAUAUGCGAUUAGCUAGUAGGUGAGGUAAUGACUCACGUAGGCGGCGAACCCUAGCUGGUCUGAGAGGAUGAUCAGCCACACUGGGCAUGAGACACGGCCCAGACUCCGACGGCGGCAGCGGUGGGGAAUAUUACGCAAUGGGCGCAAGCCUGAUGCAGCCAUGCCGCGUGUAUGAAGAAGGCCCUAGGGUUGUAAAGUACUUUCAGUCGGGAUGCGUUACCGACAGAAGAAGCACCGGCUAACUCCGUGCCAGCAGCCGCGGUAAUUC